rnacentral:rRNA from 1 species
UUCGGAUUGUAGUCUGCAACCGACUACAUGAAGCUGGAAUCGCUAGUAAUCGCGGAUCAGAAUGCCGCGGUGAAUACGUUCCCGGGUCUUGUACACACCGCCCGUCACACCAUGGGAGUCGGGAAUGCCCGAAGUCAGUGACCCAACCGAAAGGGGGGAGCUGCCGAAGGCAGGCCUGGUAACUGGGGUGAAGUCGUAACAAGGUACC